rnacentral:rRNA from 1 species
GUCGAGCGGUAGCACAGAGAGCUUGCUCUCGGGUGACGAGCGGCGGACGGGUGAGUAAUGUCUGGGAAACUGCCUGAUGGAGGGGGAUAACUACUGGAAACGGUAGCUAAUACCGCAUAAUGUCGCAAGACCAAAGUGGGGGACCUUCGGGCCUCAUGCCAUCAGAUGUGCCCAGAUGGGAUUAGCUAGUAGGUGGGGUAACGGCUCACCUAGGCGACGAUCCCUAGCUGGUCUGAGAGGAUGACCAGCCACACUGGAACUGAGACACGGUCCAGACUCCUACGGGAGGCAGCAGUGGGGAAUAUUGCACAAUGGGCGCAAGCCUGAUGCAGCCAUGCCGCGUGUGUGAAGAAGGCCUUCGGGUUGUAAAGCACUUUCAGCGGGGAGGAAGGCGGUGAGGUUAAUAACCUUAUCGAUUGACGUUACCCGCAGAAGAAGCACCGGCUAACUCCGUGCCAGCAGCCGCGGUAAUACGGAGGGUGCAAGCGUUAAUCGGAAUUACUGGGCGUAAAGCGCACGCAGGCGGUCUGUCAAGUCGGAUGUGAAAUCCCCGGGCUCAACCUGGGAACUGCAUUCGAAACUGGCAGGCUAGAGUCUUGUAGAGGGGGGUAGAAUUCCAGGUGUAGCGGUGAAAUGCGUAGAGAUCUGGAGGAAUACCGGUGGCGAAGGCGGCCCCCUGGACAAAGACUGACGCUCAGGUGCGAAAGCGUGGGGAGCAAACAGGAUUAGAUACCCUGGUAGUCCACGCCGUAAACGAUGUCGAUUUGGAGGUUGUGCCCUUGAGGCGUGGCUUCCGGAGCUAACGCGUUAAAUCGACCGCCUGGGGAGUACGGCCGCAAGGUUAAAACUCAAAUGAAUUGACGGGGGCCCGCACAAGCGGUGGAGCAUGUGGUUUAAUUCGAUGCAACGCGAAGAACCUUACCUGGUCUUGACAUCCACAGAACUUUGCAGAGAUGGUUUGGUGCCUUCGGGAACUGUGAGACAGGUGCUGCAUGGCUGUCGUCAGCUCGUGUUGUGAAAUGUUGGGUUAAGUCCCGCAACGAGCGCAACCCUUAUCCUUUGUUGCCAGCGGUUAGGCCGGGAACUCAAAGGAGACUGCCAGUGAUAAACUGGAGGAAGGUGGGGAUGACGUCAAGUCAUCAUGGCCCUUACGACCAGGGCUACACACGUGCUACAAUGGCAUAUACAAAGAGAAGCGACCUCGCGAGAGCAAGCGGACCUCAUAAAGUAUGUCGUAGUCCGGAUUGGAGUCUGCAACUCGACUCCAUGAAGUCGGAAUCGCUAGUAAUCGUAGAUCAGAAUGCUACGGUGAAUACGUUCCCGGGCCUUGUACACACCGCCCGUCACACCAUGGGAGUGGGUUGCAAAAGAAGUAGGUAGC